GAUUAUGGCUCAGGAUGAACGCUGACAGAAUGCUUAACACAUGCAAGUCUGCUUGAUCCGUUCGGGUGAAGGUGGCGGACGGGUGAGUAACGCGUAAAGAACUUGCCUUACAGACUGGGACAACAUUUGGAAACGAAUGCUAAUACCGGAUAUUAUGAUUGGGUCGCAUGAUCUGGUUAUGAAAGCUAUAUGCGCUGUGAGAGAGCUUUGCGUCCCAUUAGUUAGUUGGUGAGGUAACGGCUCACCAAGACGAUGAUGGGUAGCCGGCCUGAGAGGGUGAACGGCCACAAGGGGACUGAGACACGGCCCUUACUCCUACGGGAGGCAGCAGUGGGGAAUAUUGGACAAUGGACCAAAAGUCUGAUCCAGCAAAUUCUGUGUGCACGAUGAAGUUUUUCGGAAUGUAAAGUGCUUUCAGUUGGGAAGAAGUCAGUGACGGUACCAACAGAAGAAGCGACGGCUAAAUACGUGCCAGCCGCAGC
rnacentral:rRNA from 1 species